GCCAGUGCUCCGAUCCGAAAUAGGGUGCAAACGGGCUGGGUGCGGGGGUAAACAUGUCCCGCUUCGCUGGAGUUGUCUACCAGAAGACCGGUCUGUCGCUGUGUAACUUUUCGACAUUCACGACAGUACGAUCUCGGUCCAACGCGAAGUACUCGCUGAGAAGUGUGUAGUCGUCAACCCUUGUUGGAUCAAAAUAAUGCCUUAUUUUCUGCAUAGCAUUCCAAAAAUUGAUAUUUGCCAGCAAGUCGGGAAAACCAGCAGAGUAUUGACCCUAUCAACUCUGGAUUUUUCAUUUUCUGUCGCUGAAUAAAGUUUAUAAACUGUUGAAGUUUUACCACAGCGUGUGACAUAAGCGUCCGGUGUACCGUACGUACUGUGCACACGGUAUACGGUGCGGCUUUGUACGGGUAGUGCUGCAGUCGAAAAUCUAGUGGACGAAGGAGAAAUACAUGGACCUGAAACUUUCAUUAUUUAUAUAUCUUGUAUCUUUCCUCUUAUAGGACUCACAAAGAUGAUCAUUUGAGAUAAUCAUAAUCCAGAUGACAGAAUACAAAUAUAAUCCGUCGGACUAGAGGUCUUGUAUUGGAUGUUUUAAUUCUUGAACGGACCAAAGGAGUUUCCAAAAUGAGGACGAGUUUGGGGUUUAAUUACCAGAUUCUGUUUAUGUGCAUUCUGUCAUCAUUUCUUCCUGUCAUUGUCGAUGGAGCUUGUCUUCAUGAUGGAUUCCAUUAUGCGGUAAGUGGUAGAAAAUGAUAAUGAUAAUAUUGAUUAAGAUGCUGAUGACAAAUAGUAUGCAGCGCAAAGAAAUAAUGUAUUAAGUGACAAUAAUAUGCAACACAUUUAACCCACACUUAAGCACAGUUACCCACUUAAUAUGCUUGAGUAUUCAAGGAAUCCUUCUGGGUAGGCAUACCUAUUUACCUGGGUACCUGGGUAGAGAGUGGAAAAUAUGGAUAAAUGCUUUGUCAUUGGAUGUGAGUACUGUGGUGGGACUUGAACCAUCAGCCUUAUGGUUCAAGGUCAGGAGACUUAUCCACUGAGCCACAACACUUCCACAUAUAAUCUUACAACCCUGUCCUAUAAAGAAUUGUUUUUAUGUUAAAUCUUUAAAUUUUAAUGACUUAUCUUUCAAGCAAUGAUGUGUGGUAGUUAUUUUUGUCUUUAAGUUGUUCUCUGAUUGCCCAUAGGAUUUUCCAGUAAGUUCUACUGAAAUGAUUCUGACAAAGUUUGUGAUGGAAAACUUGUUAUGACAGAGAAGUUGAACACUCAAAUAGCAUUGAGUAUAGACUGCCCCAAAAUUUCAAAAUGAAGAAAAAAUACAGAUAUAUUUAAGCAUGAAGAUUCAAGGAAUAGAUUUGGUCAAAACUUCAAACAAAUAAAAUUAGCACCCCCCUUAAGGCAAAAGAUGAUGAUCAGGGCCCAGUC